GGGCGCUUAGCUCAGUUGGUAGAGCAGCUGACUCUUAAUCAGCGGGUCGAAGGUUCGAAUCCUUCAGCGCCCACCA
rnacentral:tRNA from 1 species